GUUUUAUAUUGAAGCAUGAGAAUGGUGUUCGGCAGGGAGAGAAGUACAAAGAUCAAGAACAAAUGCAUCGAAUUUGUUUGAGUGCCUCUACAGGAAAAAGAGAAAUGAUGCACGUUAUGUACAUAUUGCCAUUGCAUAUUAGCUUUCAAAUAUAGCUUAUUGCAAUUCUGGAUGAAAUUUUUUUAUGUGAUUUAAUGUUGUAUGUGAUUAAAUGCUCGAUCAAAAUUUAUUUAUGUGAUGAGAUGUUAAUUUCUUA